rnacentral:rRNA from 1 species
AAACCAAAGCUGGCGACCGGCGCACGGGUGAGUAACACGUAUCCAACCUGCCUCAUACUCGGGGAUAGCCUUUCGAAAGAAAGAUUAAUAUCCGAUAGCAUAUAUUUCCCGCAUGGGUUUUAUAUUAAAGAAAUUCGGUAUGAGAUGGGGAUGCGUUCCAUUAGUUUGUUGGGGGGUAACGGCCCACCAAGACUACGAUGGAUAGGGGUUCUGAGAGGAAGGUCCCCCACAUUGGUACUGAGACACGGACCAA